rfam:Monodelphis domestica chromosome X, whole genome shotgun sequence.
CUUUGGCGCUAUAGACAGUGCAUCAGUCUUGUAAGCUGAAGGUCCUGAGUUCGAUCCUCUGAAG